UGUUAACCCUGUCAGUUCUAGAACAUUCUUGUUGACCCUGUCAGUUCUAGAACAUUCCUGUUGACCCUGUCAGUUCUAGAACAUGAACACUACUACAGUCAGAUAAAUACACUGACAGGAUCCCAGUCUGGUCCGGCCACACUACACUACCCAGAGUUCCACAGCAGGUUUAGUCACACGGUAGUCAGGUUAUUGCCUUGCUAAUGGCUGGUGUUAUACACUGUUACUAUGGUUACUGUGAGAGAGACAGAGCUAGUGACGUUAACAGAACUACAGUAGGCCGGUGAAAUGGUUGGUGAAAUGGUCGGUGAAAUGGUCGGUGAAAUGGUCGGUGAAAUGGUUGGUGUCUGUGUCCGGGGGGACUGAGGUGACCAUUGUGACACUGAGUUCAAACACAGAGGCCACACAACAUACAUUGUUCUGUUCUGACGAGAGAGCGAGAGAGAGAGAGAGAGAGAGAGUUUGGCUUCUCUCCUCUCUUUGUGUUGUAGUGUCUCUGUAGUGUCUCUGUCUCUCUAGACCUGGUUGUAGUGUCUCUCUAGACCAGGUUGUAGUGUCUAUCUAGACCAGGUUGUAGUGUCUCUGUAGUAUCUCUCUAGACCAGAUUGUAGUGUCUCUGUCUCUCUAGACCAGGUUGUAGUGUCUCUCUAGACCAGGUUGUAGUGUCUCUCUAGACCAGGUUGUAGUGUCUCUCUAGACCAGGUUGUAAUGUCUCUCUAGACCAGGUUGUAGUGUCUCUCUAGACCAGGUUGUAGUGUCUCUGUAGUGUCUAUCUAGACCAGGUUGUAGUGUCUCUCUAGACCAGGUUGUAGUGUCUCUCUAGACCAGGUUGUAGUGUCUCUCGAGACCAGGUUGUAGUGUCUCUCUAGACCAGGUUGUAGUGUAUAUCUAGACCAGGUUGUAGUGUCUCUCUAGACCAGGUUGUAGUGUCUCUCUAGACCAGGUUGUAGUGUCUCUCUAGACCAGGUUGUAGUGUCUCUGUCUCUCUAGACCAGGUUGUAGUGUCUCUCUAGACCAGGUUAUAGUGUCUCUCUAGACCAGGUUGUAGUGUCUCUCUAGACCAGGUUGUAGUGUCUCUGUAGUAUCUCUCUAGACCAGGUUGUAGUAUCUCUCUAGACCAGGUUGUAGUGUCUCUGUAGUAUCUCUCUAGACCAGGUUGUAGUGUCUCUCUAGACCAGGUUGUAAAGUAACAGGUCUUUAUCUCCAGGAUAACUGAAACAUGAACAACACUACAACCAUGUUAGAUUAACAAAGCUACGACCAGGUGAUAUUAACAACACUACGACCAGGUUAGAUUAACGACCAGGUUAGAUUAACGACCAGGUUAGAUUAACAACACUACGACCAGGUUAGAUUAACAACACUACGACCAGGUUAGAUUAACAACACUACGGCCAGGUUAGAUUAACAACCCUACAACCAGGUUAGAUUAACAACACUACGACCAGGUUAUCUGAACAACACUACGACAAGGUUAGAUUAACAACACAACGACCAGGUUAGAUUAACGACCAGGUUAUAUUAUCAACACUAUGAUCAUGUUAGAUUAACAACACUACGACCAGGUUAGAUUAACAACACUACGGCCAGGUUAGAUUAACAACACUACGACCAGGUUAGAUUAACAACACUACGACCAGGUUAGAUUAACAACACUACGACCAGGUUAGAUUAAUAACACUACGACCAGGUUAGAUUAACAACACUACAAUCAGGUUAUCGGAACAACAGUAAGACCAUGUCAGAUUAAUGACCAGGUUAGAUUAACGACCAGGUUAGAUUAACAACACUACAACCAGGUUAGAUUAACGACCAGGUUAGAUUAACGACCAGGUCAGAUUAACGACCAGGUUAGAUUAACAACACUAUGACCAGGUUAGAUUAACAACCAGGUCAUAUUAACAACACUACGACCAGGUUAGAUUAACGACCAGGUCAGAUUAACGACCAGGUUAGAUUAACAACACUACGCCCAAAUUAUAUUAAAAACACUACGACCAGGUUAGAUUAACGACCAGGUUAGAAUAACAACAACACUACGACCAGGUUAGAUUAACGACCAGGUUAGAUUAACAACAGUACGACCAGGUUAGAUUAACAACACUACAACUAGGUUAGAUUAACGACCAGGUUAGAAUAACAACACUACGACCAGGUUAGAAUAACAACCAGGUUAGUUUAACAACACUACGACCAGGUUAGAUUAACAACAGUACGACCAGGUUACAUUAACAACACUACAACCAGGUUAGAUUAACGACCAGGUUAGAAUAACGACCAGGUUAUAUUAACAACACUACGACCAGGCACACACAGUCUCAAAUGGAACCCUUUUCCACAGCUCCCUAUGUGGCCCCUGGUCAAAAGUAGUGCACUAUGUAGGGGAUAGAGUACCAUUUGGGUCAACCCCAAACUAAUCUUCCUCUGUGCUGAACCCCUCCACAGAACCAGUGAACCAUCUUGACCGGUUCUGUGGCUCAGGACCCUCCUGGGUCCCCAGUGUUGUGGAACAUUACCGAAUAAACAGGUUUACAAAGUUAUUGUUGUGUGGGUUUUUUUUCCGUUCACUUGCAUCCUCCCCUCCCCUCCCCCCGUUCAGGAUGAAAAUGGUUUAGUCCACUGACUCCGCUCAGCUGUCCAUCACACACUCUCCAUAAUGAUCACCACAGAAUCCUCCUCAGCCAAUGGGGUGUCUCCUGGGGCGGGGCUACACAGGGUUAGUCCCUCCCCUGACACCUGAUCUCUAACCGGGCAGUCCAGGCUGUCGUGGAGCUCGCUCACCCCUUCCACUUCUCCUUCAUCGCCUCCUCCUCCUCUCCUCCCUUCCCCUGCUUCCUCCACUCCCUCCUCCUCCUCCUCUUCCUCCUCCUCCUCCUCCUCCUCCUCCUCCUCGUCUUCCUCAACCUGACAGCGGCACACCUCGAUGCCCGAGUCCCCUGUUAGACGGCGGUGACGAUACUGACUCGCAUCAGCCCCAACUUCCUCCUGCUCUUCCUCUUCCUCCUCCUCCUCCUCUCCCUCGCUCCUGUAGGUGUGGGGGACAAGCUG
rnacentral:lncRNA from 1 species